rnacentral:rRNA from 1 species
CCGGUAAACGGCGGCCGUAACUAUAACGGUCCUAAGGUAGCGAAAUUCCUUGUCGGGUAAGUUCCGACCUGCACGAAUGGCGUAAUGAUGGCCAGGCUGUCUCCACCCGAGACUCAGUGAAAUUGAACUCGCUGUGAAGAUGCAGUGUACCCGCGGCAAGACGGAAAGACCCCGUGAACCUUUACUAUAGCUUGACACUGAACAUUGAGCCUUGAUGUGUAGGAUAGGUGGGAGGCUUUGAAGUGUGGACGCCAGUCUGCAUGGAGCCGACCUUGAAAUACCACCCUUUAAUGUUUGAUGUUCUAACGUUGGCCCGUUAUCCGGGUUGCGGACAGUGUCUGGUGGGUAGUUUGACUGGGGCGGUCUCCUCCUAAAGAGUAACGGAGGAGCACGAAGGUUGGCUAAUCCUGGUCGGACAUCAGGAGGUUAGUGCAAUGGCAUAAGCCAGCUUGACUGCGAGCGUGACGGCGCGAGCAGGUGCGAAAGCAGGUCAUAGUGAUCCGGUGGUUCUGAAUGGAAGGGCCAUCGCUCAACGGAUAAAAGGUACUCCGGGGAUAACAGGCUGAUACCGCCCAAGAGUUCAUAUCGACGGCGGUGUUUGGCACCUCGAUGUCG